rnacentral:rRNA from 1 species
GACGAACGCUGGCGGCGUGCUUAACACAUGCAAGUCGAACGGAAAGGCCCUGCUUUUGUGGGGUGCUCGAGUGGCGAACGGGUGAGUAACACGUGAGUAACCUGCCCUUGACUUUGGGAUAACUUCAGGAAACUGGGGCUAAUACCGGAUAGGAGCUCCUGCUGCAUGGUGGGGGUUGGAAAGUUUCGGCGGUUGGGGAUGGACUCGCGGCUUAUCAGCUUGUUGGUGGGGUAGUGGCUUACCAAGGCUUUGACGGGUAGCCGGCCUGAGAGGGUGACCGGCCAAAUUGGGACUGAGAUACGGCCCAGACUCCUACGGGAGGCAGCAGUGGGGAAUAUUGCACAAGGGGCGGAAGCCUGAUGCAGCAACGCCGCGUGCGGGAUGACGGCCUUCGGGUUGUAAACCGCUGUCGCCUGUGACGAAGCGUGAGUGACGGUAAUGGGUAAAGAAGCACCGGCUAACUACGUG